rnacentral:rRNA from 1 species
AUUGAACGCUGGCGGCAUGCCUUACACAUGCAAGUCGAACGGCAGCACGGGUGCUUGCACCUGGUGGCGAGUGGCGAACGGGUGAGUAAUACAUCGGAACGAACCUUAUCGUGGGGGAUAACGCAGCGAAAGCUGUGCUAAUACCGCAUACGCCCUGAGGGGGAAAGCGGGGGAUCGAAAGACCUCGCGCGACUAGAGCGGCCGAUGCCUGAUUAGCUUGUUGGUGGGGUAAAAGCCCACCAAGGCGACGAUCAGUAGCUGGUCUGAGAGGACGAUCAGCCACACGGGGACUGAGACACGGCCCAGACUCCUACGGGAGGCAGCAGUGGGGAAUUUUGGACAAUGGGGGCAACCCUGAUCCAGCAAUGCCGCGUGAGUGAAGAAGGCCUGCGGGUUGUAUAGCUCUUUUGUCAGGGAAGAAACACCGGCUCAACACAGUCCGGGAAUGACGGUACCUGAAGAAUAAGCACCGGCUAACUACGUGCCAGCCGCCGCGGUAA